CUACGGGAGGCACCAGUGAGGAAUAUUGCACAAUGGGGGGAACCCUGAUGCAGCAACGCCGCGUGGAGGAUGACGCAUUUCGGUGUGUAAACUCCUUUUAUAUGUCAAGAAAAUGAUGGUAGCAUAUGAAUAAGCACCGGCUAACUCCGUGCCAGCAGCCGCGGUAAUACGGAGGGUGCAAGCGUUACUCGGAAUCACUGGGCGUAAAGGACGCGUAGGCGGGCUUGUAAGUCAGGUGUGAAAUCCUACAGCUUAACUGUAGAACUGCACUUGAAACUACGAGCCUAGAGUAUGGGAGGGGGAGAUGGAAUUAGUGGUGUAGGGGUAAAAUCCGUAGAUAUCACUAGGAAUACCUAAAGCGAAGGCGAUCUCCUGGAACAUAACUGACGCUAAGGCGUGAAAGCGUGGGGAGCAAACAGGAUUAGAUACCCUCGUAGUC
rnacentral:rRNA from 1 species